CCCAUGGGGCUCCUACACCUCGGAAUUUCCUGGUCUGUGGGCAGUAAAGAUCCAUCUGGAAAUGCAGCAUCCACUCACCCUCUGUGCUUUCACUGGGAGCUGCAAUCCUGAGUUGCUCCUAUAGCACCAUCUUCCCCCUUCUCUGUUGUUAAUAUUCUUAACUAUUUUUAGCAGAAAUAGUUAAGAAUAGUUCAAAACUGUAUCUUUGCUGUUACCAUUUACAAUUUGUUGAAUUUACUUCACAGAUGAAUAAAUGAAUGAAAUUUUAGGGAUGAGUACUUUUCAACAAAGUAACUAAAAUGUUAUUAAGUCCUCUCUAAUUAUAUUUGUGACUUCAAACAACAUUUCAAUAAUUUAUUUAAAUAAAUUUUUAACCAAGAUAAAAUUUUGGCAUUUAGAUUCCCCUUUUCUUCCUUCCUUCCAGUAACAAUGAAAUACAGGCUCACUAAAUCUACUAAGCUACAUUACCUGCUAAAUACAUGAAUCAGGUUACCUAAAAAUGUCAACUAGUUGGCCAGGCUUUAUAGGGAUUGUGAACAGAACUAUUAAAAGAUAUGAUGAGUAGUAAAGAGAGAAAACAGCAAAAAAGGUAUGAAGAGCUGAGAAACAGAGAGUGACAAACCACAGAAUGGGAGGUUUUCUGUUAAUUUAUUUUAUUUUUUGACAUGGAGUCUCACUCUGCCACCUAGGAUGGAGUGCAGUGGUGCAAUCUCCACUUGCUGCAACUCUGCCUCCUGGAUUCAAGUGAUUCUCCUGCUUCAGCCUCCCAAAUAGCUGGGACUACAGGAGUAAGCCACUAUGCCUAGCUAAUUUUUGUGUUUUUAGUAGAGAUGAGGUUUCACCAUUUUGGCCAGGCUGGUCUCAAACUCUUGACCUCAAGUGACCCACCCAAUUUGGCCUCCCAAAGUGCUGGGAUUACAGGUGGGAGCCACUGCUCCUGGCUAGCAUGUGAGCUAAGUGAUUGAUAAUGUGCUCAUUAAUAAUAAUGUCUGUAAGGGGCUGUGCCUAUUUCAACCUCAGCUGAGCUUUCCUUGUGAAUCACCACCCCAGGCACAAGCAAAUGGGUCCCCUAGAAAUUGAUGUGCACAUCAAAGACAUCAAAUAACAAUAAGUUGGGAAACCUUUGGUACUUACAUAUCUUGGUAGGGGCAGCUUAGAUAGGAUGGAAAGAGUAUACCAAAUUGAAGAAUUCCUAAACAGAGAAUUAAUUGGGAAGAAGAUUUCUUAUAUGAUGUUUUAGUUUACCAUUUAUAAGAAGCUAUAAACCACCUUCCUUACAGCAGUGAGUUUCCAUAUGCAAAAUUACACUGUGCAGCUUUAAUAAAUCAUGCCCUUUAAUAGCACUGGCUACAGUUCAUCACUCUUUGGUGAUAAUAAAAAAAGAAGAAUGGAAAUUUGUAAAUAGGAAAUGGAUUAGAAAUAAAGCAAAUGGCAAAAAGAAAAAAUAUUCCUGUAACAAAAUAUUGGUAAGAUGAAGAAAAUUGAAGGUCCUAGAACUAAGAUUUAACAGUACUGCUAGGAUACUUCCAUGGAGACAGCUAAGCUACAUAUCUAUGGUAUUUAUAGAAGACCCUUAAGAAAUAACUCUUAAAAUAUCCUGAAUAUCUAAAAUGUCAACCCAAUAAUCUCACUAUUUGUUCAUUUUUCCUAGUAGUACCUAUAUUUGACCAUUGGGACAGGCAUUCCUCAACCCUAAAGAUAUCAGUAAGUGAAUAAAAAUUCAUGCAGGUAGCGAAAUCCCCAUAGGCCCUUUUCAAUGCAUGACCACUUUUGCUUUUAAAUUUUCCAUCCUAGUUUCUGUACACAUUAGGUUUUGGUCAACUACUUUCAGUUUGGCAACAUCCUUAUUCCUUUACACCAGAACGUCAGCCAGAAAUUCUUCCUCUUUCUGGUCUUUAUCUUGGAUGCUAAAUUUGUGCAGAGGAAAAGUGAGUUCACAACUGAGACAUCAAAUCAGAAAGAAAUUGCAAGUUUGUAUGUAGAACCAGACACAGAAAAAAUAUCUCUUAGUACACAUUUUAUUUGAAAUUAAAAGUCCCACCUUCUUAGAUCAAAAAUGUAAAAAGAAAAAAAAAGUUUGGGAGACAUGAGUUGUAUAGUUCUCUGUAUCCCAGAUGGCCAGAGCCACAUAUAGAAUUCUGGGGACUAUGAGAUGAUACUCUUGGAGGAAACCAUUGCUCUCAUUCUUUCAAAUCUCUAUUGUCAGUUUUGGUUUAUAACAUAACAAAAAACAAAUCUUUGCUGCCUUUGGGGAUUAAAAAAAAACCCUAAUUUUUUCUGCUUAGAGUCAUCUGGCUUUCUCUUGGAUCAUUCCCCUUAGUUGGGUUCUUUCAGGGGGCAUUUCUUCACACCUCUUAUGUAAAAUUGAUGGUAGAGGAUCUCAGAUUUUCCUAGAGUGAAAGACUUGAUAUCAUUAUGGAAUUAAGAGCCCUACAUGAUCUUGCUCCUGCCCGCAUCUCCCGCCUCAUCACUUAUCUUGCUUGGGCCACAUUAGCCAUCUUUCUUUUCCUCAAAAACGUCACUUUUCCUUGUGGAUCUUGUACUUGCUGUCCCUUUGCUUGGGAUGGUUUCUGUCUCCAGCUCUUCACAUGACUACAUCCUUUUGAUCAUGUUGUUGCCUCUUCAAAGAAGCCUUUCCUUACCACCCUAUUGAAAGCAGCAUUGCCUCACCCAGCAGCGGAUUGUUUUCUGUAAGCACUAUCCUGACAUAUUCUUCAUUGCAGUUAUCAAAAUUAUUAGGCUUAUUAUUUUCUGUCUCUGCCCACUAAAUUGUAGGCUUCAUGAGAGCAGGGCUCUAAUCUAUCCUGUUCAUGGCUGUAUCCCCAGCACACAGCACAAUGCCCAACACAUAGUAAGUUCUCAGAAAAUAUUUUUGCAUUAAUUAAUAAAUAAGUGAACAAAUGAGGAUAGUUGUCACCUUGCUGUGCCACCUUAUACAAGGCAAGGUCUUAUGUGUUGGAGAACUCAGAUGGUCCUGAGAGCCAGGAGAUCCAGUCAAGAAAGAGCAUCAACACAACCCUCUAGUAAAGAUAAGCACUUAGAUGCUGUGUCUCUGCACUGCUGCCUCACAAAUGGUGAAUAGAAAGAGCAAUGGGCUGCUGGCACUCCAUUCAUCAAGAGGCACCUGCAUCUGGCUGGGUUCUUGCAGGGACCUGAUGAAAAUGGCUAAACAGAGGAAACUCUUUACCAAGGAGGGGGCCAUAUAUAAGAGAAACAGCAGGAGUGGUAGAAUCUCAGAGAUUGAGGACCACACCAGUCAUUACCACCCCAGGCAUGAAGGUACAAAGAAGUGGUCAUUAAAACUUACAACACCUGAGGCCUUCAGUAGAGAGAAGUAGGUGACCUUCAAGGUCAUGGUGAGUGGGGUGUGGAGAUGGUGGAAAAGAAUAACUUACCCUUCUUUUCUUGCCUCCUGAUCUCAGGACAGCAGGGGAGCCUGCUGAGGCAUCCAACAGGAUAAAAUGGAUCUGGAGAAGCCAAUAAAAGAUCCAGCACAGCAUCCCUCACUCAAAGUGUCAGUAAAAGCCAGGAACUCUAAUGUGCUCACAGGGUAUCUGGCUUCCUAAUUAGAUACAUUUUUUCCUGGCAAAAGCUAGAAAAACACAAUAUACUGACCAAAAGCCUGGGCACUGGAGCUGGGCAACUAACUGGUGAAGGUUGGUUCCUUUACAAAAUAGUUGUGUAACUGAAUGUAUCAAUUCCCUCACAGGUAAAAUGGGAUCAGGAGAUCUGCUAUGAGGAUUAAACACCUUGAGUAACUUAAUAUGUAUAAAUGCUUAGAAGAGUGCCUGACAAACAGUUCAUAAAAAGGAGGUGAGCCAGGUGGUUCCUGGAAAGAAAAGAACAAGGAAAUUGCAGCAAUCACAAGCCUUGGGCAGAGAUAACUACGAAACCUCACCUUGAGAAGCAGAUCUGAGCCACAGGAGUGAGAUUUUUCCUUUCGCAAAUGAUUUGUCAAGCCUCUCCCUGCAGAGCUUGUACUGUAGCCACAAAUGUCUACAGAUCAGCCUCCAGCCCUCAGUGAGCAAAUGAGAACCUGGGUCAUCACCAUUCCCAUUUCUGCUCCACUUUCUCCUUCCCAGGAGUUUAGGCUGGGCUUACAUUCUCCCUCAGCAAGGACUCAAUCAAUCCUCUUCCUUCUUCUUUUUUUUUUUGCCAAUCAGUUUGAGCUUAUGAGGUUGCUCAGGUUAGCCUUGAACCUCGCCUUCGCAAGAGCCACUACCUCCGGCGGGAGCCACUUUGGACCCCCGAUCCUCUUCCUUCUAAGUGGUGCUUUGUGUGCAAAGCUGAAAAAGGAUAGUUCUCUGUAGGGACUGAUGGGGCAUUGCCAUCAAGCCUGCCCUAGGCCCAGGAUCUAGAGACAAUAUGGUGAAAUGUGUGUGUGAAUAAAGGAAGAAGGAAGUCACUGAAGACAGGAAAUAAAGUGGAGGUGGGUAGGGAGUGGGGCUUUGGGAGGCAGGUGUGGAUGACAAAACCUACUGCAUUAAUUAGCAUACUACUUAUUGCUACAACAGAUAAAUCCACACAUUUCAGUUGCUUAAUCCUAAGAAAACCUAUUUCUUGCUCAUAUGAAGUCCAAAACAAGUAUUCCUAAUUGGCAAGCAACUGUCUUCCUAAGCUAUAAUUCAGGAACCUAGACUCCUUGAAUUGUAUGCUCUACACCACCUUUAAUGUGUGGCCUCUAAGUACCUCUCCAUGAAUCUAGAGGAGGGGCAAGAACCUGGAGGGUUAAGUGUGAGGAUUUUCAUGGUUCAAGACUAGAAGGGUCACACAUCACAUUUUCUCACAUUCUUUUGGCUAGAACCCAGUCACACAGAAUGCCUAAUGGAUAGAGAGGCUGGGAAAUGUAGUCUAGUUGAGUGCCCAAGAAAAAAAAAUGGGUUGGUGAGCAACAAGCUAGUUUAACAUUGCCUAUUUAAUUUUGCACAAGGGAAGCCCUGAAGAUAGUCCCAAAGUACAGAUCUAUAGGUUGGAGUUGUCAUAUUCCUGGAAUUAAAGGAAUUCUCAAAACUUGAAUACAAUAUAAAGAAUCCUUGGAUUGUAUAGUUGACAUUGAUGUCUUUUGAUUAUCUUAGUGGUUUAUGGCAAGAUAUUUUGGCUUUAACUAUUGGUCAUCAAAAUUUUGCUGAAUCAAGAACCCGAACCUAUUAUAUUGCUUGUGUUCUUUACUAAGAGGACCAAACACCCUGUUUAAUUAUGAGCAACAAUGGACUUUUAAAUAUUUUCCCUUCAAGACAAAUUACCACCAAAUAUCUUCGCAAAUUUUGAUUUGUAUUAUGCCACCCGCUUCCAGCAAGAUACACGUUACCAAUGUACAAAUGAACGUAUGUCUUCUUAAAGCUAUUUUAAAGAUAAAAUGGUAAAAAGUUCUGAUGCCCUAGAAAAAUUGAUUCAUCAUCAUAUUUAAAGAUGUGCCUCAUUAUGUGCCAAGAACUAUGUUAACAGAGAUAUGUUCCUCUGUCGGUCAGUAAGUUUGCUUAGUCCAGGGAAGAACUCAAGAGUCUAUUUCUAACUAGACAUUUUUACUGAGUGUAGAAUUUUGGGUUGAAAUGUCUUUUCUUUCAGCACUUGAAAAAUGUGUCACUUCCAAGUGGUCUUCAUGGUUACUGAUGAGAAAUCUGUCAUUUAUUCAAAUUUUUUUUCUCCUCUAAGUAAGGUGUUAUUAUUCGCUGGCUUCUUUCAGGAUGUUUUUCUUCAUCUUUAGUUUUCAGAUAUUUAAUUUUGAUGUGUCUUGGUAUGGAUUUCUUUGGACUUAUUCUUUGAGAGUUUUCUCAGCUUUAAUCUGUAGGUUAACGUCCCUUGCCAACUUUAAGAGGGUUUCAGCCAUUAUUUAUUUGAGUAGUUUUUUUUAGCCCCCUCUUUCUUUACUUUUUCUAGGACUCUGAUGACACAGAUGUUAGAGCUCUUAUCUUUAAAUCUUUUAUUUGUGCAAUAGUCACACAGCUCUCUGAGGAUCAGUUUACUUAAUUUUUUGUCUUCCCUUUGUUGUUCUGAUUGAGUGAUUUUUAUUGUUCUAUCCUCUAGCUCAUUGAUUCUUUCCUCUCUCUCCCCAAUCCUGCUGUUGAACUCACUCUCUGAAGUUUUAUCUUGGUUACUAUAUUUUCCAUUUCUAGAAUUUCUAUUUGGUUAUUCUUUAUGUAUUCUAGAGAUCUUUCUCUUUGUUGUUACAAGUGAGUUUUCGUUGAAACUGGGACAUUUUCAUGGUAAGUUAUGAGACUUUCAAUCUCAUUUGAGCUGGCUUUGAUACUGCUUUGGCAGAGGAAGUGGAUGGUGGGGAACUGGGGGAGAAAGGUGUCACCAUAUGUGAUCACAAGACCAGGUAUCCCAUUCAGUCUCCAUUGACACCUGAAGCGGGACCUCCUCAUUACUGUUGGACAAGGGUAAGAGUUCCAGCCUCCCACAUAGUUCCCACUGAUGCCGUGUUGGCAUUGGCUGGACUAUCAGUGAGCAGUGUGGAAGUUCCUGACUCUUCAGUGGGCCUCCUCUGAGACGCCCCAGCAAGGAUACCUCCCAGAAGGGAGGGAUGAACCCUCAUUACUAUUGGGUGGUAGUGGAAUCUAAGCUGCUAAGUGUUCUCCAUGGAUACCAUGGAAUGGGAAUUGUUACCAGAUGAUGAGGAUAAAAAUUCUAGCUCCCUACUAGGCCUUCUCUGCAAAACCUUAGUGGGGUAUUGAGAGAACUUGUUAAUAGCCUUUUGAGGGUAAAGUCCAGGCUUCCAUUUUGUUCUUGGUGCAUGAAUAGAGGUAGGGAGAUACAAAUAUAUACAUAUUUUUAACCUGUGGUGCUUGUCUGAAGUAGAACAAUUAUUGUCUGAAAGUUUUCUGUCUUCCUAGACUGCCUCUUUGAAGUAGGCUUUUUUUUUUUCUGGUUUGCAACUUUUGGCAUUUCUGAGUUACCAGCUUUGGCAUCAAGUCUAGGAUAUAUGAAGCAAAAGGAAAAUCCAGGAAACUUACCAGUAUGUCAUUUUUCAAAUCAAGAUUUUUCAAAUCAAGGUCCCUAACCUGUCUACUUUCUUCUCUCCAUCUUUCAGUCUUAAGUUUUGAUAUAUAUAACAUACAGGGAUUUUAAUUGUACUUAGUUGCGGAAUAGGUAAAUAAUUUGUUUACUGCAUCUUCCCAGAAGUGCAAGUACAAUUUUUAUGUACCUUUUAAAUGUGAUCAGAUUUAUGUUAAAAGGACUAGUCUGGUUUCUCUUAUGGAGAGGUGACCAUGAAGUGGAUGGGGGGCUGGGGUGAGGGGUAGGGAGCAGUGGAAGAAGGCUAUCAUGGGCUUUUGGUCUACGGAUGAAGGUGUCUCCUGUUAGGAUGCUUAUGAAGAAGGUGGUGAGAAGUAGUCAGAUUAAACAUAUGCUAUAUUUCAAAUGUAGAGCCAGUAUGGAAAAGCUGGUACAAACACAGUGAGGGACUGUAUGUCCAAGUUCCUGCAAUUCCUGGGUUUAUGUGGAAUACUUUGGAAUAUGUCUAAUAAAUUACAUUUUUGACAUGUGGCAGGAUGGGGUUUUCUUUUCUCUCCCUUCUUCAUCCAAUCUCUCUCUAGAAGAGUUUUAGUAUGAUAGAAAAUAGAGAUGAAAACCUUGUUUACAAAACGAUGCAAUAGCUAUGCAUUGAAAGAAAGUCAAUAUUAGCAAGAUAAAUUUGACUUGUCUUGUAGAUGCUUCUUUUCAAAACCUAGAGAGAUUCAAGGUUCCCCUUUGAUUGACAGGAGAGACAAAAUCAAGGUUCCAUCAGCUGCAUUUCCAGUCUGGGUCUGGAGCAUGAUGAAGACUUGGUGGAUCUCUUUCAGAAUGUAGAGCCAGAUUGUGGAGAUGGGGAAGAGGACAGAGAGACAGAAAAGAAGGGAGUAGGAGAAAAAUCAAAAGUGAAAAUUUGUUCUUGAGCUUGAUUUUGGAGAAUGUAUGUAGCUGAGUAUCUCUAAACAACAAUACCCUUGAGACACUGCAUGAAAAUACUGCAAUUUUCCAUCUGGUAAAAAUAGAAAUAACUGAAAUGAUGUAAAAAGGCUUAGCUCCUUUGUAAGUUUCAGAAGUAGUGUGGCUAAUGGUGAUGUUGGGGAGGGCUAGGGUGUCCAGAUAAAAUACAGGACAUCCAAUUAAAAUCGAAUGUCAGAUAAUUAACAAAAUGUUUAAAAUAUAAGUGGGUCAGGAGUUUCUUGAACACUCCAAAUUAUUGCAUGAAACCGACUUAAACUAAAUAGCCAAAGACACACCCAUAUCCAAAAUAAAAAAAAAAAGGUAAACCAUUCAUUUUUUAUCUAAAGUUCAAGUUUACUGGGUGUCCUAUAUUUUUAUUUACUGAGCCUGGCAGCCAUAGGGAGGGCAAAACUUGGUUGAGGCAUUAUUAAUGGAAAAUCAGAAGAUAGUGCAGGGCGGGGAGCGGGGCCCCCGAAGAUCCUCCCAGUUCUCUGCUCCAAUGUGCCCAGGUCCUUGGCCUCUCUUAUCCCAGGAAUGGGGAAAAGGGCCCGGGACGUGCAGUGAGCUUACCUUUCAAAUAAAUAUUGUAGACCCAAAGAGUUUAGAAGAGAGCCAUUUAUUAGGCAGAAAGAGAGAGAGAGAGAGAGAGAGAGAGAGAGAGAGAGAGAGAGCGAGCGCGAGCGAGAGCGCACAAGCGCACUCCCACACUUCUAUGGGAGGGGAUCCAGGGGAGGAAUCCGUAUAGGUAAGGAGCAGUGGGGUUUUAACCCUAAAGUUAUUCUUGCCCCAUUUAUGUUCUCGCCCAAUGAGAGGAGUUCUUUCAAAUUUCCUCUGGAGUGAUUGAUCUUUGGCUUUGAUACGGGAUUGGCUACAGAGCCUCCUCCUCCCAGAGCUUUUGUCAGGCUUUUUAAACAAAGGAGCACACCUGGAUUUUCCACCUAGCCUGCCCAGGGGAAAGUCAGACAAAGAACUCUAGGUUCCUGGAUGGGGGUGUAGACAGAAGCACGGUGCCGGGAAAUUCCUGCCUUUGAAACCACGCCCCUUGUGGACUCGGGAAGAGAAGUUUUUUGUUCCUUAACACAGUCUCUCAAUAGUAUGCAAAUAUCACCUUUGAAAUAAAACAUAAAGGUAACUUUUGAGACUUCUGAAAUCACUUUCUGUGUGUUGGGACAGCCAAAUUUAUUCCUAUUUUGUAUUAAUAAAGGUUUUACCUUUAAGAAUGCAUGUACCCUUGAUGCAAUAAGUAAAACACCAGCCCAAAUCUCAAAUCAAUUGCUAUGAUGUUAGAAAACCAGGUAUGCCGCCAGGCAAUUAACUGUUGACA